rnacentral:misc_RNA from 1 species
UAUAUAUAUAUAUAUAUAUAUGCAUAUAUACACACACAACUACAUAAGCAAAAGCACGGAUAUGAAGCCGAGAUAAGCGGCAGAACCGAAGCAGUUGCGAAGACAGGAAACCGUAUCAUGAGCUAUCGCCCUAUACACGUGGCCAACACACCUGCCUUCAUUAUCAUGGCCAGCGACACCGCAUUGUGCUGGCGGGCGUGUUGCUGAUCGUGCACGAGCGCUUCGACAUGAACGACGACAAGGAGAGUCACACGGGGGACUUCUUCAACAACCUCAUCGUCGCGCUCAUCUUCGCCGUCCUCAUCAUCAACGUCUUCGUCGCGAGCUUCGGGGUGGACAUCGCACCGCCGCCCGGCUACGUGUCGCCGACGCCGUACCCGAAUUACUUACCUGGGAAGGGGCACUGACCUUUGACCUCGUCUCUGAGCUCGAUGGUUGUUGAGCAUGGAUCGACUUUUGGUUCUCUUUCUCUUCCUCCUUCUUCUUUGCCUUCUCUUUCGCCUUGUCCUUCUCCUCUUUCUCAUAUUUCUGCUUCUCCUUCUCCUUUCUUUUCUUCUUCUUCCUUCUCCCUCUUUUCUGAUCGCCCUUCUCCUUUUUCCUUUUCGUCUUCUUGUCAUCCUUUGCAAACACAUCCUACAGUCAUUGCAGACGCGUUCGCCUUUCCUGCAGUAACUUGCAAACAUCGAAGUACGGUCGUCACGAAGCUUUGUUUACUUCCAAGUUCUGUUUUUUCUUUCGUAUUUAAAGGAUCUUUUUCAUAAUCUUUAUAUAAGCAGAAUGCAGUGCUGGUCCUCGAACAAUCCUUUAUAUCGUCUGUAAAUCGGUUCUAACCAAAAUCUAAGCACAAAGUAGUUCAGGGUAUUGUAUAAAUUUGAAAGGAAUACUGACGAAUGAAAUAAGUGGUUGAACAAUUUGUGUACUUUUGUGUAAUGUAUGUUAUGAUGAUAAGGAAAUGUGUAAUUUUAGUAUAUUGUUAUGUAGAUAUCAAGUAAGUAGGACACACACACGCGAAUUGUGAGUUGAUGAUAUAUGUAUAGGGAGAUAGAAUAAAUUUGAUGUUCGACUUAAAUUAAGGAUAUUUAUUUUUCAUAUUUUUACCGUUAUGUUAAGUAGCAAAUUGUAGCAGAAUAAGACACUUUUUACAACUAAAUUUUUUAAUAUG